rnacentral:rRNA from 1 species
AUGUUGAGAAGGAUGCAAGCUACAGGAGCAGCAGACGCGUCGUGUGAGCCUUGGGUGAUUGAUGCGUUUGUGCGUGCAUUGGUCAGCUGCGUGCAUCAGGUUCAUCUCGUGUAUCAGGAAGACAACAGUAAGGAGAUGAGAGCUAUUAUCUCAACAAUAGAAGUUCAGGAAGAAAAGAGGAACGGUGUUGUAGUGCUCAUCACUCACUCAAGAAAGGACAAACAUAAAUUCCUCGUAGCAAGGUCAGCGUAUUGUGAUGUUAGCAUGCCCCCUGAAGGACUGCAGGAGUGCUUGCCACACUUAAUACCAACUUUGGUGUCAAACAUGGUCUACACUGAGGAUGAUGAAUUGCUUGUUGAUGCUGAGGUCUGGUUUGAAGAAGGGCCAGGUUCAAAGUUUUAG